ACCUGCGAGCGAGAAACGAGAGCGGAUCACAGCAACAGGUAGACAGACAGGCUACUCGCGAUACGAAUUCAUCAUCAUCAUCAUCAUAAUCAUCAUCAUCAUCAUCAUAAUCAUAAUCAUCAUAAUCAUAUAAUCAUUUCCGAAACUAUCAAAUACUAGAAUUCUAAGAGAAAGAGAAAAAGAGAUAGAAAGAAACAGAGAUAGAUAGAGAAAAUAUCAGGUUAUCCCAAGAGUGUUCCUUCAUUUUUGUGGAAUUUUUACGAUUUUAUUUCUUUUUUAGAAAUAGAUCAUACUUAUACAUCCUAUAUUUUAGUGAUAUUUUAUUAAUUAUAAAAUUUUAUGCAUCAUAAAAUUUAUAUCGUAUACUUAGAUUAGUCAUAGUCAGAAUUCCAUAUUCUUGAAAUUUUUACUAUUCUAUUCUUCCAAAGUUUUGAUUUAUUUACAAAAAAUUUUUCUUAUAAAGAAUCAUUAAGUCCAUUAUUCUAUUUGACGAUGAAAAAAACUUUUGGGACAAUUUGAUAAAAAGAUAGAAAAGAGAUAGAAGAAAAUAGAGGUUAUGGUUGACGGUCGACGCGUCAAUUCAUUUCAUUUCAUUUUUUUUUUUCUCGAUUGCCCAUGGAUGGAUCGAGGAGACCAUUGAAGCGGAUUUAAAAUAAUGCAGGAGUCCGUCCCAUCUGUAGAGAUCGUUCCAUUUAAAUAGUGUAUGAUACACAUUGUUAGAUACAACAAAUAUCCAGAGCAGGGGGACGAAGACACUGAUAGAAACCAGAUAUGGCACAAGUAGCAGUUCACAGAGAAUGGAUUUCAUUGUACGCAAUCAAGUGAAUACGAUUGACAAUGCAAAGAGCAAUGAAUGAAUUGAUGAGAAUUAUUAUUAGUUACGAGCAUGAUAAUCAGCUCCAUCCUGAAACAGAUGAAAAGGUUCAUCAUAUGUAUUUGCAAUAACGACGCAUUAGGUAUCAAUUUUCUCUUGUUCAAUAAUUUAGUAAAUUAGAAUUGUUGAGAAAAUUGUUGAGUUGUUGUUUUCUUUACCUUAGAAAUCACGAAAUUUUUAAAAGACAAAAUUUAAUUUUUAAUUUUUUAAAAUUAAUAAAUUAUUUCCUAUAUAUUAUUUCAUAUUAUUUCAUAUUUUAAAAUAUUAUAUUUCUUGCCAAUUUUUCACAAAGAUAUAUCGAAGAAAAUGAUAUCAUAAUGCGUUGCACUGUUAAGAAAUCAAAAACCUGAUGAUCAAAGUUCCAAAUUACACGCGCAUAAUAUAGUAUUGUAGUAUACACGCGUACAUUAACACAUAAGGAAGAUUGUACAAUACACACAAAGCAAUAUAAUAUGUAUAUAUAUAAUGUAUAUAUAUAUAUAGUUCAUAUGUAUAUAGAUACACUGUAUUUUGCACAACGAUCACUGUGCUAAAAAAGACUGUUAGGAAAGGCAUAUAUCGGCAAUAGCUAGUACGACAAAAACUUCAAUAUCAGUGCAGACAUUAAGUAGAGACACCAGUGUAACUCUGUACACUGGAAAGCACACCAUAGAGUACAAGGCUACAAUCAUUGUAGCGAUCGUAUCCUCUUUUAUCUUUUCCCUCGGUUUUUACUUAUCGUUCCCUUCUCUUUUCUUUAUUUAUUUUUCUUUUCUCAUAUCAAUUCUCGUCGAAAAACCAAAGCCCUGAUUCAAACGUAACGGAUUGAAGAUCAGAAGAAUAAAUUUUAAAAAUAUCACCAUAAUUUAAUAAUUAAAUAUAUUUCCAUGAUAUUAUAAAAAUGAAUUUUUUUUUAAAUUAGAAAAUUCUAAGGAAAAAAAUUAUAAUAUUGAAUGAUAUUUUAAUUUUAAUAAAGUUGUUAUGAUAAAAUGAUCGUUUAAUCCGUCAAAUUUGCAAAGAUUGGACAAAGAUGGUCACAUCACCGGAUCAGGCCGAUCUUUAUCGCUUUUCUUUGUUGCUUCUCGUUGACCGAUGACUUACUCUCAUGCCCUCCCAUCGUGACACAGCUCGUAAAGGCCUCAAGGCCCUCAGUGUUCUCAUGGAACGGAAGGCCGGGAUGUCUGCGGCGCCUGCCCAGAUUGCGCCCAAGUUGAUCAGUGAAAGCUAUCAUCAUCAUCAAAUAUCGAUCAGAUGGAACGUGAUACAUAACACAUGAUUAUUAUACGUAGACGAUUGUAAUACACAGUGAUCCACCACGAGGGAGUGAUUCCACGUUGCGCUCUUCCGUUAUUCGAAUAGAUAUUUUUUGGGUGGUUGAGAGAAGAAGAAGAAGAAAGUGGAGGAAACACGUCGUCACUCAAAGAAACUUGAAAGUGAGCUUUUUUUUUGCAACAAGUUUACAAAAUCUUUAAUUUCUUAAAGUGGAAUUAAAGUAUUUUAGAUUUUUUUUUUUCUUGAUUGAGAUUCGAUCAUUUUGAAAUCUUAUACAAAGUUGAGAAAAUGAUUGUUCAGGAUGUGAUAGACUUUGUAUAAGAUAUUGCUGAAUUUUAUUGUAAGCUUGUUUCUAGGAGUAAACGAAGUUUAACUGCAGUAUGAUCUAAAUUAUUAAAUAAAUUAGAGACAAUUUAUAGAAAAUAUGAAUUAUACAUAUUUUUUUAUUAUUAAAAAUAAAUUAGAAACAUUUUUAUUUUUUAGGAAUAAUUUAAGAGUCUUCAUGUGAGUAAUCGUUUAUUUUAUUUUUUGAUCAAAGUCUUCUAGUAAAUUUUUUUAAAAUUUUUUUUCAAAAAAGGAUUACACACAUUUAGAUCAUAAAAUUAUGUGAAAUAUAAAUUAUAUUGAAGAAAUAUAACUUACCAUGACAAUGAUAAAAUCAAGCCAGCACCAAGCGUUCGUGAAGUAUUUUUUGAAGCCAAGAGCCAACCAUUUGAUUAACAUUUCGAUGAAAAAAAUCACAGUAAAUAUUCGGUCCAUGUAGUACAAGAUAUCUUGCAGAAUGGGUCGUUGUUGAAGAUGCACAUCUUCCAAGGCCUGAAGAACAUCAUACGAUUACAUUUUUAAAAUUAUUCACAUGACAAUAAAAUUUACAAAGUAAAAGAAAAUAAUGAAAAUAAUAAAGAUUGAUGAAAAAUAUUCGAUAUACUUACGAGAGCCAUACUACUCAAAAGGAUCAUCAAAAUGACGGCAGUCUCAAAAUACUUGUUCUCAAUUAGUUGGAAGGUCUUCAGUCUCAAAUUCGCCCAACCCUGCCAAAACGGUGCGUCGUCGUCGCCAGCCAAGAAUGGGAACUUCUUGUAACAAUUUUCUGGACAACAAUCAGCUGGAUAAUCGGAUUCGAUGGGAUCUUCUUCUGCUUGGAUAAUCGCAUCGCCUACACCUUCUCCUUCCUCUCCUUCUUCGCCAAGAUCUUAAAAGUUAUUACAAUUAAUUUUUAUAUUUUUAUUUGUAAUAAUUUGCGCUUUUUCUCUUUCAAAUUUUUAUUUGCAAAUUUAAAAUUAAAUUUUAAUUUCACUGCAACAAUUAUUUACCUUCUUCUUGUUCUAAAUCUUCUUUGCUCGCAUCCUUCUUUUCUUCUCCAUCCAAUGAAUCCAUGCUCCCCUUAUGACUUUCGUCCUUGAACGCCCUAUUUUUAUGGCUGCCAUAUGAUUUAUUACUGCACAAAUACCAAAUAAAAAAUAAAAUAAAACAGAAAGGAAACUUAUAUAAUUUUCCAUUAGAAAAAAAAAAAUAAUAAUAAUAAUCUUCGAUAACAAUCCAAAAAAAACUCCAUAAAACUGAAAAAGAUAAUCACCUGAUGGUAUCAUCCUCAUUUUGAUUAAUAUAAUCAUUAUCCAGCCUGUAGUCACGAUGAUUUAUCGAAUUUGCUAUAACUUUGCUGUUGUUCAUGCACAAUUUACCCUUCUUCAAUUUAUUCUUUAGGUCUCCUUCGAAAAAAAAAAGAAAGAAACAUUCUCAUUUGAUUAUCGAUAAAACAGUGGAUGCUGUUGCAUUUUUUUUUCUAAAUUAUAUCUUCAAAAAUAAUAAAAUUAAAAUAACCGAUGAUACUCAGUUUGUUAAAGACUCAAAAAUCUGGAAAAUAAGAUAAGAGAUAUGGAAAAUGGAACGUUUCUCGAUCUUACCAUGAAUCGUAAAUUCCAUUCCAUCCCCAAUAGCAACUUCUAAUUGGUUCAGCUCCUUGGCACUCUUCUUGUCUCUAUACGCAUCAAGUUCGCCAUCUGCAAGAUCUAGGUCCCCAUCGCGAUCAAUUCCAUCUGCACAGUCAUACAAAAUCUCUAACCCGCCCUUAUCAGAAUGAUUUUGUCAAAAGUAUAUCUGUAUGGAACAGAAUAACUGUUGUGGUAUUCAUCGAGUAACCGGAAACUCUUUAAGAAAUUGAUCCUUCAUUUUUUAAACUCGACAUAUUUAACAAAAAAGUAAAUAAAUGUUGUACUGUUGAAUUUAAUUUUUUUCUGUUCUUCUCUUUUUUUUUAUUAUUAUUAUUAUUUAACUGUAAUUUUUUGUAUUGUCGUUCAUGCAGUAUAUUUCGUGUAAUCGUUACGAUACUGUUCUAUUAAAAAACUAUGAUUAAACGACGAGUGACAAGUGUGACUAGUUUUAUACGCGAUACAUGAUGGAUUACAUUGUAUGUUUAACUUAAUACUUAAUAAUGUUAGGUCAGAAUCGAAGAAGGUGUAAUCUUUCUCUUCCUUUGUUUGCAAAAUAUUAAUAAUAAGCAGAAGUUGUAAAAAAGAAGAAAAUAUGAAACUUUUGCUUGAAAAAAUAAUGCAAAAUUUACGAGCAAUUAAAUUGCGUACAUUAUGAUAUAAUUUUCGUUGUACACGAGCGUUAUAUACAGGAUGUUAUUUUACAGACACCCGGUAUAUACACGGAAUAUCACUUCGAAAUUUAAAAAAUUCAUUGCAUACACAUCACGACGAUUAAUCAAGAUUUUUUUUUUAUUUUUAAAAUUUUCGAAAAAUCUGAUCAAUCCAGAUGUAUCGCGCGAUACUUGAAAAUCUACUAUUCGAUCAUAUUCGAUAAUAUCGAAGCGUUCUUUAUUUUACCGGAAGACGAAACGUUUAUUUUCUCCAACGUGAAAAUAAUAGGCAAAGCAACGUAUAACUGCCAGGCUAAUCAGCGAAGCAAAAAUUAAUCUAUCCUUAUCUUCUUCCCCCUCUUUACUCUCUUUCUAUUAAUCUCUGAUCUCGUUGAAAAAACAGUAAAAUAGCGAACCUAUUAAAAUGUCUGCAUAAAAAAGAUGAAAAAGAAAAAAAAAAGAAACAAAGAAAAAGAAAAAAAGUGACACCAGUCAACAGUUUUUCGAUUUUACAUGAAUAAAAGAAGAAACAGAAAUUCAUAAUAAAAAGCACCAAAUCUAAAUAAGAUUGAGUAUCAAAAAAAAAAAAAAAAGGAUUGAUCUUGCUAACUAUGGUGUAUCGCGCUGUAUCUCCUCGUAAAUUUUCAAUCUAUCAGUGAGAUUAAAUUUCCUUUCGUCGACUGGCAGCGAAAUAAGUGAACGUAAAAAGAAAGAAAACAUUUUUUUUUUGUUUUUUUCUUUGAAAAAAGUGAAAAGCAGAACUGAAAAACAGUGCCACGAACUACACAGCGCACACAGCAAGCGAUCUGAUUGGAUAUAAACCUUCUUUCCAACUGUUGGACGGUCCCUCACCUGGCGCCUGAUCGGAUAUCUGAUUGGUGAGUUUGGCUCGCAUCAUUUUAGCAAGAUAAAGGACAUUUCGCUUGAUCCACUUAACGAAUCGUGCUAUUCGAUCGAUCGCUUCCGCGAUCUUGUUCGUAUCGUUGUCUGCGGUCGGCGCCGAUAGAUUCGACGAGCCGAAGUUGCUCAGCAACAAAGCCAAGAAGAGAUUCAGCACCUGUUCGUUGCACAUCAAAUUUUUUUUUUCAUUUGUUUCUCCUUUUAAUUAAAUCGAAGAGAAAGAUUAGUAAGAAUUCGAUUUAUCGGAAGUUUAGAAAAAUUAUAAUUUUUGUGCAAUAUGAACUUGGGAACUUAAAAAAAAAAUGAUCAAAAUCAUAAUCAUAAUGAUUACUUGAAAUAACGUUGAAUCUUUAUUGGAAUAUACACAAUGAAAACAGAAAGUUAAAUCAAACUAGUAAGGCAAACUUUACUUAAGCUGUAAUUUAGUAGGAAUCAGAGAGUCGUCAAGCAUACUUACAACCAGAUUACCGAUGACGACAGUGGCCAGAAAGAACGGUAUGCAAGAAACGUCGCCCACAAGCAUACAGUCCCACAUAGACUCGAUCCAUUCUCCGCAGAGCACACGAAAGACGAUCAUGAACGAAUGCAUAAAAUCGGUGAAGUUCCAUCUUGGUAGAUCACCAUCCGGAAAUCGAUCCACGUUGUCAGUGUAGUUCUUGCCGAACAAUUGCAUACCCAUCACGGCGAAAAUGAAGAUAAUGAUGCACAACACGAACGUCAGAUUACCCAGGGCGCCUACCGUUCUACCCAUGAUGGAAAUUAACAGAUUCAACGUAGGCCACGACUUUGCCAAUUUGAACACUCUUAACUGUGGAAAGAUUAUUUUAAAUGAAAGUAAAAAUAUAAUAGACACAUGAAAGGAUAAAGGAUAAUCUUACCAAUCUGAACGAUCGUAACACGGAAAGACCUUGUACACCCUCUAAUCCUAACUCCAGAAGAGAAAGAGCGACGAUAAUGAAGUCGAAAAUAUUCCAUCCCUCUUGAAAGUAAAAUUUCGGACUCAUUGCUAUCAGCUUCAACGUUGCCUCGAUACCGAAUGUUGCCGUGAAGAACUAGAAUUUAGAUAAAUAUAUUAGCGUCUAUUAUUUGCAGAGGAAGAAAGAGAAAGAAAGAAAGAGAGAGAGAGAAGAGAGAGGAGAGAGGAGAGAGAAAAAAUCGAUUCUUAAAUGCAUGAAAGAAAAAGUUCUCAAAACCUUGCGCCAAAAUAUUUAAAUGUAAAUUACACUGUAUAAUUUGUACAAUACUGUUUACAAUUUACAAAGUUUACUCUAUCUUGAUGUUUACAAAUGUUUUGCAUCAAAAUAUUUAUAAACCUUUUACACUGCAAAGUUUACAAACGCUUUUCAACACGCAAUUUUUUCGAUAUCGGUAAAAAUUUUUCUAAUAUAUUUGACAAACCUAUUAAAACUUACAUAAUUUCCUGUCUUGAGCACCCUUUCCAUAUCCUUGUCCAUAUCAUGAUGAUCAAGUGCCAUGAAUAGUGUGUUGACGACGAUACAAAGGGUGAUGAACAACUCUACGAAUGGAUCGAACACCAAAAGAGCCACGUAUUUUUGAAACUCAAGCCACAACCAGCAACAGUCCCACACGCAGAAGAUAUCGAUGCAACGUAGCACCGCGGUCAAUAAUUUGUCCUUAAAUGUCGGCCCUUCUUCAUCGUCGUCUGUCGGAAAGUAAUAGGUCGAAGAAACUGUAACGCGUGUUAGUAAUUUUGUCUGGCACCACUCUUUUUGGGGAAAGAGGUUUUCUCGUUCUUUAUCAAGCUUGCACAAUUUUCCUUUAUACAUUCCAUUGUUUUUUUCCUCUUUUUUUUUUUAACUCAUCAGACCACAGAUUAUUAAAAAACAAGAAGACAAGCAGAGGUAUGUACCAUGGCAAAAACGAAACUAAAAAUAGAGAGAGAGAGAGAGAGAAAAAGAAAAUUAACAAUCUUGAAGGAAUUGUACAGAGCUACAACUUGUGAAAGCGAAAGAAAUGAAAAAAAAAAAAAAAAAGAAAUCAUAAAUGGUGCAUUCAAUGCAUUUGCACGUGAAUGUACAACGCGACUAACAAGAACACGCGCAGCCUGAAAGCUGUGCAGGGACAUUAAAAAAAAAAAUCGAAGCUGCAAGAGGAGGAAUAAGAGUGCGACAAGUGGGUAGCUUGCAGAAAAAAAAAGAGAGCAAAGAACAAAUUUAUAAUUCGGCUAUGAGGGAUAAAUAAAAAUCGUGGACAUUCAGAAUGCAAUUAAUCCUCAAUUGGUGGAACAUGGUACUGGUUAAAAUUGGGGCAAAUUGAAUUUUCAAAAGGGAAAAAAUGAAAGAAACAUGCUGUAAAGAAUUUUUUUCAAGAAAAUUUAUACUCAUUUAGAAAUUAAAUCUUCUAAUUUUAAGAUUAUUCAAUUUAACUCAUUGAUCUCUCUUUUCGCGAUAAUCUUAAUAAAACCUUCAUUCGACCACUUGUGGAUAAAAAUCGAAAAUUAGAUUGUAAGGGGAUAAAAUAAUGAACCGUAACAAAUAAAGUAUAACAAAAUCAAAUAUACGAUCAAAAAUAAUAAGAGUGAAAGGUAUUAAUAAAUUAAAGGGAUAAACGUGACAAAAUAAUAAUCGAUCUGAUUCUUCGAAUCGUUGCUAUACUAGUUGUUGCAGCAACCUAAUAGUAAGUCAAAGUGCUUGAGACAAUGUUGCUUGGUGUUCUCGCUAUAACAUCUGUAUUAGAAGCUCUAAUCGCACUUUCUAGAGCAUUGAAUGUCGAUGACAAUUGGUGAAUAUGACAAUAAUAAAUCACCGGUCGGAAAAAGCUUCACGAUUCUACUUUGUUACUUUGUGCAAACGCAGGCAAACGCGGAGGUGCCCUCGAAGCGGAGGUGCCGUCACGAAAAAGACUAUGAAAAUGAAAAUUUUCGCUGCAGUGUACGUCGGUGAUCAGACGGGGAGAAGGCGAAAUCCAGGCACGAAGCGACCAGGACCGUGCAGCUGCAGCGAGGAUGUUAAUCUGUGUCGUAUACAUCAGGAAACAAACUCUGUUUCCCCAAAAGACACCGUUACAAAAUUGUUUACUUUAAUUCAUUUCGUUUCAUUAUCCAUCCAAGAGUUCGAGGGCUUAUGCACUGCAAUUAUUCGAUGAAUUUACUUAUUAUACUUGAUUUGAAAAUUAUGUAUAUAAUUAUAUUAAUUAUCCUUAUUUUAUCCUUUACACUACAACUUCCAUAUUUCUUUCUUCCUUUUUAUACAAUAUAAUAAUAAAAAUGAAACUUAUUGGGACCAACAGGAAUCGUACCAUGCACUGCAGUACAUAUCGGUAUUAAUGGAAUAAAGUAAUGGAUAAUAAUUUUCGAUCGAACGAGACUUUAAAAUUAAACAAUAGAAAAAAAAGAGAGACAGAGAGAGAGAAAGAGAGAUAGACUGUAUAUACGUAUAGGAUUCGGUCUACUAUGUACAAGGCGCUCAGACAAAAAUCUUCAGCACUGAAUAUCAAUGGAGAAAACUGUACAAGAGUUUCAACAACGGUGUACAUCAAAAUGAUAGGAUGCUCAUCACACAAGAGAUACACAUCUGUGAUAAAGGGUGAUAGAAAACUGUAAGAAAAAAAGUAACAUGAGCGAAGGAAUUAAUACAUUCGACAUUACCUCCUUGCUCCGGAGUUCUGCUCUGCCGUCCCGCUGCCUGUUCUAUGAUAUCGUUCAACACCAUCACGUCUGCAAAGGGAAGCAAAGGAAGAAAAUUCGAUAAACAAAAAAACAAUCUCUCCACUAACACGAGCAAUACAAAAAUUUACCUUUCAUAUCAACCACGGCAUGUUGUUGAGAAGGCUCUAUGAACGGAUUGUCUUGUUGCUUCGCCUUGCCCAUGGGAUCUUCUAGAUCACCCUCCUUGAACGACGAAAAGAAGAGAAAAGAAACAUUAAACCCCUCAUUCAACAUUUUAUAAAACGCAAGAUCACCCUCGAUCCAAUUCUUUUUCUUUACUCACGUAAUGGUACUUCUGAUUAUUAUCCGUGAUAUGCCCAUUGACAGACGGCGGCCUGACAGAUCUGAUCCUCAGCUGGCUCUCCUUGGUCAUCGGUUUCCCCGCGUUCGCUAUGCCGCCGAUCAGAUCACCGUGGGACGUGUACGACAACCGUGAAGCGUGCGACGUGUACGAAGAAUGCCUGGAGCCAAGAUUCGCGUAGUAGACGGGCACAACGAUCGUGCCGUUCUCCUCGGACAUGGGCGUGACCGCGUUCGAGUCAUCCGCGUACGGCAGGUGUUCCUGGGCGUCGAGGAACGUGGACAGUACCAACGGCUUCCGGUCACCGCCGGGCGGCCCGACGAAACGUCCCCUGCCGUUUCUGAUCGUGAACUGAUGGCUACCGCGGCUGCUCCGGCGAAGAUUGAACGGUGAGCCAGGCAGACUAAGGCUCGCCUGAAAUUACAACAAAGCGGACCACCGCUUUUCUCUCUCACCGUUCUCUCUCGAGCCUCUCUCGAAAAGCGAGUGGACGGUUUAAGGGGGCGGUUCAAAGGGGAAUAAUGGGGCGAGGUUUCUUCCACCUUUUCUCUUUUUUUUUUUUUCUUUCCAAUAUGUUCAAUCAACACACGCCCUCGAGACACACCCUAUAUAUAUAUAUAUAUACAUAUUCGCCUAUAUUCGACUAUAACGAUCUUCCUUCUUCGAGCUAGCUUCGCACCGCUUCGCGUGUCGUGUCAUUUCUUCGUUCGAUUACUUCAUCGAUGGAACCUGUAUAGUCGAUAGAGGGGGUGGGGGAGGUCCUGAUGACAGAUAGCUUAGAUAACUCGUGUCUUUCUUUCUUUUCUUUCUUUCUUUUCUUUUUUUUUUUGUGCAUAAUUCUGUGGUUUCUUGAGAGUUUGGAGGCUACGUGAAGCUCAAAAUUGUACUUUUACUUAUAUGGGAUUUUUUUGAACUUGUAUAUGAACUGAUGAGAGAUCUUUUCUGAGCUGCGAGAUGGUUCUAAAGAUUGAGAUAAUUCGAUACAAGGUAUUUUUAGCAACAAGGAUGUUGGAGAUUCUGUGGAUUUUGGGGCGAUUCGUUUCCCGGAGGAAUAUAUCUUGCAUCUCGAGUGAAAUCAAUUCUUAAACUCGUUUCGAAGUAUCAUCAAGAUCGAUUAUUGUAUUUUUCAAUGGCGCCAAGUGAUUUCACGCAAUGAAAUGUUAAAAAUAUAUUCCCUUGUAGAAGGAUCGCGCUCUUGGUCCAUCGAAUCUUCAAGCAUCUUUGAUGAAUGACUGUGUGUAAUGGUCCUCUAAUGGCAACGAAGUUGGCGUUUCGACCAGAAACGUUUCGAACGCGUAACUGAAACCUUGGACGAUCGAUGGUGUUUUAAUCGACAUGAAAUUUUGGAUCAUGGAUCCUGUACAUCUAUUGUAGUACGUACGGUCGGCGGUGACAGACACGUUGUGACACACAUACCUUCCGCAGACUUUCCUGGUAGGCAUAAGUAAACUGGCCAUUAGCGACGCGAGAGACCUUAAGAAAAAAACAAGAAAAGAUAUCUCCUACCAAACGGCUCGUAACGUUGUCUAAUAUGUACACCAAGGAGGCACUCGAUACGGUUAAUAUGUUUAUAUAAAUACUUGCAAAAGCGUUACAUACACAAAAGAAGUGACAGAGAGAUAGAGAUAGAGAUAGAGAGACAGAGCAUGAUGUUAACACACGCAGAGAUAUAAUGAUACAACUGUCUUCGCAAACGCAUAUUAGGGUAAAAUUGAUGUUGAUCAAAUGCCUUUAAAAACGGAAGUAAGGGAGACACGAAGAUCCGCGGUAACUUUUAUAAUUGUCAUAAUUACUUUUGUAGAUCUGCUUUCUUUGCAUCCUUUAAGUUUAUGAAUUAUCAGAGAUUUCUGAGUGUAUGGUAUGUAUCUUUAAAACGUGAAUUUGUUAUCUCGUGUGACGCAGAAUCACUUUUUAAAGAUAUAAUCUUACAUUUGGAAAUCUCUAAUUGAUUUUUAUUAUCAUUAUAAAAGUGAAAAUUAUAAUUAACAUAAGUAGAAAUUUAUUUCUAACAAUCUUCUUGGAAUAAUUCCCGUAGCGGCACUUUUAUAUAUAACUUUGACCGUGUUGAUAUAAAUAAAAACUUGAUUGAAAAUCUCAAGAUCAAUGUUCCUAUUUGAAUCGAAAAUUCGUAUCUCCAUUCUCUACUACACACAUGCGUUACCAUGCAAAACGGCACAGAAUGAAACGUUUUUUUCUUUUUUAUCUCGACAACGAUCCUACUUAAAACACUGUUUUACACGCGCCCGCGAGUAACCAGACCGAUGAUGGAAAACCAAAAGGAAUGCACGCUGUCAAAAAUCAUUAUACGCCAUUCGAAACCAAGAAAGAAUCGAUGAAGAAAAUUCAACGCAACGAAAGCAAGGAGUUCAAUAAGCGUCCUAACGAAGUACCAAAAUUGAUCAUUAUUUAACAAUCGAUUACAGUAUGUUACGACAAGCAUGCUACAGAGCGAUAGACUUUUAUGAAGGGGCUCGACUCGUCGCUUUCAACGCUAACUUGAGCCUAAGUGGAAUAUUUCCUCAUCAGAAUUCAUCAACCGUCUAUCCUUUUCAAGACAUUUCGUCUUCACUUCCCUAAACUGCCAUCAACACAAAUCCACCAUCGGUUCAUUCGUUAUAGAUUGACGAACGCUCAACAAAAAUCUGAAUCUAUGCCAUCCCUGUCCUUGAAACGGCUCGCAAAACACCAUAGUGCAUAAGUGGAUAGAACAGAGUUGUCCACAUUAAUAUUCCUCUCCCUUUCAUUUCUUAUAAUUAAUAAAUUUUUUAAACGUUUCCUCGCACUAUAAUAAUCAUUAACUUUCUUGCAUAAUAUUUUCUUUUGUGAUGCUAAAUUUUCCUACAUCCUAACAUUUCUUCCCUUAAUUAUUUUUCUCUUAAAUAUUGAUCGUUUGGUAUCCCAUCUAAUACCUAGUAUACCAAACAAUCUUCGGAUAAAAUUGACGGAGGAUUGUGUAAUUGGACAGCUCUGUGCACCAUAGAAUAUAGUCAAAAUACGAUAGUGGAAGGAUACGAAAAAAAAAAAAAAAGUAUUAUUUCAAUGUUUCACCGACGAGUCGAGUCGAGAUCGAACAGCCUCGCGUGAAUCGCUCUCGUAGAAGCGAGGUCAAGGGGGGACAAGUUCGAUUGUAACAGGAGGCAAAAAGAGAGUACAUUACGUCAAAGGAGGAUAAAUCGAUGGUACAAAAGAGAGAGACACAUCGGCCAGUCAGACACUUACGGCGCUGACUUUUCGCACUUUAGUGGUGGUCGUGUGAUUGUUGAUCUGUUUCACUCUGUGCUCGCUGACCGAUUCGAUCGAACGUAUGCUCAUCCUCUCCUUGUUGUUAUCGUCGUUCCCUUUCUCUUGACCAACGAACAAUUCGUAGCUGUGACACGAGAAGUCUGAUGGAGAUUUGACUAUCUGGUCAGCGGCGGUCACCGCCGCAUGUGCUGCCGCCUCUCGGGCUGCCGCUUGUGCCGCUAAUUUGUUCUCCUUCGCCAGGGCCGCUUCCUCGGCUUCCUGUCAUAUAUUCGUGUUAAAAUGUAUUAAAUCUCUAUUAAUGUUGGUUCGUUUCAGUUAGUUUUUUGUAAUACCUUAACAGUAUUUGCACACAGUUGUAUUGUGACAUAAUAAUUGUAGAAUGUGGAUCGAAACUUGGAUCGAAAGUUGAUUGAAAGAUAGGUUAGAUUUUGAGAAUUUUUACUUUGUCGACUUUGUUGAACGGUGGCCAAACAAGAUUCUAAGAUAGAGAAAAGUAUUUGCAUAUUGAUUUAUGAUGUGUGUUUCUAAAAAUAAAUUUCUCCAGAAAAAAAAUUGAUGAGAUAAUUUGACAGUUGACUAGAUAUUGUAAUUAGAUCCAAGUAUAUUAUAUUUGUUAUCAUUUAAUAUCUUCAAAUGAUCGUAAAAAUGAUCUAUUUUAUCGGAGCAUGAGUGCUUCCUCCUCGGCUGCCUCCUCUUCCUCAGCUUUCUUCUGCAAUUCAUCGUAAGACAUCGCGACAAUGGCAAGAAUCAAGUUGACGAGAUAAAAGGAGCCAAGAAAAAUGAUCACGAUGAAGAACAACAUAUGCCAUGGACCGGCCGAUCUAAGCACCAACUGGUACAGAUUUUCCCAAUAAUCUUGCGUCAUCAGACGAAAGGCGGAUAACAAAGCCCAGCCGAAGGUGUCGAAACUCGUGUAACCGUAAUUCGGAUUUUCACCGUAUCCUUGUAAACACGUGUAACCAGGAAGGCACUGCCUGUAUUCAACAAAUUGUAUCCAUUAAAUCCAAUGAUUUACGAUUAAUAGUAACAAGAAUUUGUGUGUGUAUAUAUAUAUAUAUAUAUACUAUAUAUAAGAAAAAAAAAACGAGAAAAAUUACCCUGCUCCAGAUGAAUUUCCACACAAAGGCAUGUUUUUCGCCUCGUCCACGUACCAAUUAGCUAAAUAAAAUGAUCAAUUUCAAUUUUAAUUAUAGUUUGGAAAUUUUUUUUUUGAUAGGAAAGAAAUGAAAGCUCUUCAAUUCAAAAUUUUAGGAUAAUUUAUUCAAUGUUUCAAGGAGAAAGUCUAAUAAAGGCUUCGUUUCUGAGGUGGAACUUUUCAGCAACGAAAACACGUUCAAAGAAUAUUAAACUACGUACUUUCAUUACUAACGAAUCGCUCCCAGUUUUCAUCGGUCAGAUUGCCCCAGGAGCCGUCCUCGGGAAAGUUCUUUAUACACUUUUGCGUGAGCACCCCCAUGUAAAUCUGGAGGCCCAUCAGCGCAAAGACGGAAAGAGAGAACAUCGUCAAGAUUAUCACAUCGCGCAGGUUCUUCACGGAUUCUAUCACAGCGCCGACAAUGGUUUUCAGACCUGGCGAACGAAACAAAAAAGGGGACCAGAUGGAUUCGUCAGUAAAACGUCAAUAUGCAAUAUGUUCGACGAAGACGACGUUCAAAGUGGCGGGCGUAGCUCUUUUACAUAUUUAUCUUAUCAUUUGUCUUAUUGUAUAUAUAUAUAUAUGUAUAUAUAUAUUUUUUAUUUAUUUAACAAACAAGACAACGCUUCUCGUUUCAGCGUGUGGAAAAAGAGAGAAAGAUAGAUAGAUGAUAAUGGAUCAAUCGAAGAAACGGAUGGAAGGAUCAUCAAAUUAAUAUAUUGUCUCUUUUCGUGGGAAAAAAAAAGUGGGGGAAAAUCAUCGAUGGAAUGAAAAAUGAGGAACAGAAGGAGGAGAUAACAGAUGCUGCUAGCAGAAGAUCGCGAAGGACGGCUGCUUCUUCGAAAAUUGAAAAAAAAAAAAAGAAAAAAAGAUCGUGAUGUUCAAUUUAGAUGGAAUGAUCCGAUGAUCGUGUCGAAAGAUGCAAGGCUGGCGAGCAAAAAAAAAAUGACGCACGAAAAAAUGUACGGAUGAGUAAUAUAGGCGUUUCGUCAGUCGGAUAGACAUAAGUGAGAGACUAAAGAGAUAUACAGAGAGAGACCGAUGUCUGUACGUUAUUGCAGUAGCUCCACGUGAAAAAUAAAAGAACACAGUGAAAAGAGAACGGUGGACGUAGGCAAAGAGUAAAUCGAGUUUUCUCGUCAUUGUUUCACUAGAUCGAGGGCGAAGAGAACGAACGAGAUACUCACUCCGUAGACUCGAUGGUGGGCGUAGUGGGCAUGAUCAUGAGUAUGCAGUUAACCAAUAUUGUAGUGAUAAUGAAGAGGGAGAACAGUGGGUGAACCAAUAUAUAAAUGGCCACUCGUCGUAUCGGAUUGAACGGGUCGAGGAUCCACAUCGCAUCUGUCGCUGAGAACCUGAAUAUGUCCUUCCCCUUGCUGAUGACGACGAAGGUCUGAUUGAAAAAAAAAAAAAAAAGAAAAGAAACAA